rnacentral:rRNA from 1 species
AUACGGAGGGGGCUAGCGUUGUUCGGAAUUACUGGGCGUAAAGCGCGCGUAGGCGGCCUGUCAAGUUGGGUGUGAAAGCCCGGGGCUCAACCCCGGAAUUGCAUUCAAAACUGGCAAGCUAGAGACCGAGAGAGGUGAGUGGAAUUUCCAGUGUAGAGGUGAAAUUCGUAGAUAUUGGAAAGAACACCAGUGGCGAAGGCGGCUCACUGGCUCGGUACUGACGCUGAGGUGCGAAAGCGUGGGGAGCAAACAGGAUUAGAUACCCCAGUAGUCC